rnacentral:rRNA from 1 species
CCUACGGGAGGCAGCAGUGGGGAAUAUUGGGCAAUGGGCGCAAGCCUGACCCAGCAACGCCGCGUGAAGGAAGAAGGCUUUCGGGUUGUAAACUUCUUUUGACAGGGAAGAGUAGAAGACGGUACCUGUCACAUAAGCCACGGCUAACUACGUGCCAGCAGCCGCGGUAAUACGUAGGUUGCAAGCGUUGUCCGGAUUUACUGGGUGUAAAGGGCGUGUAGCCGGGUUGACAAGUCAGAUGUGAAAUCCUGCGGCUUAACCGCAGAACUGCAUUUGAAACUGUUGAUCUUGAGUACUGGAGAGGCAGACGGAAUUCCUAGUGUAGCGGUGAAAUGCGUAGAUAUUAGGAGGAACACCAGUGGCGAAGGCGGUCUACUGGACAGAAACUGACGGUGAGGCGCGAAAGCGUGGGGAGCAAACAGGAUUAGAUACCCGGGUAGUC